rnacentral:rRNA from 1 species
UGGGGAAUAUUGGGCAAUGGGCGCAAGCCUGACCCAGCAACGCCGCGUGAAGGAAGAAGGCCCUCGGGUUGUAAACUUCUUUUAUCAAGGACGAAGAAAGUGACGGUACUUGAUGAAUAAGCCACGGCUAACUACGUGCCAGCAGCCGCGGUAAUACGUAGGUGGCAAGCGUUAUCCGGAUUUACUGGGUGUAAAGGGCGUGUAGGCGGGAUGGUAAGUCAGAUGUGAAAACUCAGGGCUCAACCCUGAGCCUGCAUUUGAAACUAUCGUUCUUGAGUGUUGGAGAGGCAGGCGGAAUUCCGUGUGUAGCGGUGAAAUGCGUAGAUAUACGGAGGAACACCAGUGGCGAAGGCGGCCUGCUGGACAAUAACUGACGCUGAGGCGCGAAAGCGUGGGGAGCAAACAGG